CCCUGGCCGUCGCCGCCGUGGCGGCGGUCGCCUUCAGCGCGGCACUGGCCGCCCCGCACGAGCGGGCCGAUCUGGACGGCCGGUUCGGACCC
rnacentral:tRNA from 1 species